GAGGGUAUAGCUCAAGUGGUAGAGCACAUGCUUAGCAUGCCCAAGGUCCUGGGUUCAAUCCCCAGUACCUCCU
rnacentral:tRNA from 1 species